rnacentral:rRNA from 1 species
AGACAAUAGAUACCCCGGUAGUCCACGCUGUAAACGAUGAGGACUAAAUGUAGGAUGGGCGACCAUUCUGUAUUGAAAGCUAACGCGAUAAGUCUUCCGCCUGGGAAGUACGGCCGCAAGGUUGAAACUCAAAGAAAUUGACGGGGGCCCGGCACAAGCGGUGGAGCAUGUGGUUUAAUUCGAUGCAACGCGAAGAACCUUACCUACUCUUGACAUCCUACGAAUCUGGCUGAGAGGCUGGAGUGCCGCAAGGAGCGUAGAGACAGGUGCUGCAUGGCUGUCGUCAGCUCGUGUUGUGAGAUGUUGGGUUAAGUCCCGUAACGAGCGCAACCCUUAUCCUUAGUUACCAGCGAGUAAAGUCGGGGUACUCUAAGGAGACUGCCGGUGAUGAAUCGGAGGAAGGUGGGGACGAUGUCAAGUCAUCAUGGCCUUUAUGAGUAGGGCUACACACGUGCUACAAUGGGGUCGUACAGAGGGUAGCCAACCCGGCGAGGGGGUAGCCGAAUCCCGCAAACGCGUCUCGUAGUCCGGAUUGGAGU